rnacentral:rRNA from 1 species
UACGUAGGGUCCGAGCGUUGUCCGGAAUUAUUGGGCGUAAAGGGCUCGUAGGCGGUUUGUCGCGUCGGGAGUGAAAACACGGGGCUUAACCCCGUGCCUGCUUCCGAUACGGGCAGACUAGAGGUAUGCAGGGGAGAACGGAAUUCCUGGUGUAGCGGUGAAAUGCGCAGAUAUCAGGAGGAACAUCAGUGGCGAAAGCGACUUCCUGGACCAAUACUGACGCUCAUGUGCGAAAGCGUGGGGAGCAAACAGG